AACGAACGCUGGCGGCAUGCCUAACACAUGCAAGUCGAACGAGAUCUUCGGGUCUAGUGGCGCACGGGUGCGUAACGCGUGGGAAUCUGCCCUUUGGUUCGGAAUAACAGUUGGAAACGACUGCUAAUACCGGAUGAUGACGAAAGUCCAAAGAUUUAUCGCCAGAGGAUGAGCCCGCGUAGGAUUAGCUAGUUGGUGUGGUAAAGGCGCACCAAGGCGACGAUCCUUAGCUGGUCUGAGAGGAUGAUCAGCCACACUGGGACUGGGACACGGCCCGGACUCCUACGGGAGGCAGCAGUGGGGAAUAUUGGACAAUGGGCGAAAGCCUGAUCCAGCAAUGCCGCGUGAGUGAUGAAGGCCUUAGGGUUGUAAAGCUCUUUUACCCGGGAUGAUAAUGACAGUACCGGGAGAAUAAGCUCCGGCUAACUCCGUGCCAGCAGCCGCCGUAA
rnacentral:rRNA from 1 species